rnacentral:rRNA from 1 species
GACGGGGGCCCGCACAAGCGGUGGAGCAUUAGUGGUUUUAAUUCCGAAGCAACGCGCAGAACCUUACUACCCUUGACAUGUCCAGUAUGGUUUCCAGAGAUGGAUUCCUUCAGUUCGGCUGGCUGGAACACAGGUGCUGCAUGGCUGUCGUCAGCUCGUGUCGUGAGAUGUUGGGUUAAGUCCCGCAACGAGCGCAACCCUCAUCCUUAGUUGCCAUCACGUUUGGGUGGGCACUCUAAGGAAACUGCCGGUGGUAAGCCGGAGGAAGUGGGGAUGACGUCAAGUCCUCAUGGCCCUUACGGGUAGGGCUACACACGUGCUACAAUGGCAGUGACAAUGGGUUAAUCCCAAAAAGCUGUCUCAGUUCAGAUUGUCCUCUGCAACUCGAGGGCAUGAAGGUGGAAUCGCUAGUAAUCGUGGAUCAGCAUGCCACGGUGAAUACGUUCCCGGGCCUU